GCCUUCGUGGCGUAACGGUCAGCACACUCGACGCGUAUCCAAGAGGUCCGUGGUUCGAGUCCCGGCGAGGGCA
rfam:Stegodyphus mimosarum contig2217, whole genome shotgun sequence.